AUUGGACGCUGGCGGCAGGCUUAACACAUGCAAGUCGAGCGGGGUGAUGGUGCUUGCACUAUCACUUAGCGGCGGACGGGUGAGUAAUGCUUAGGAAUCUGCCUAUUAGUGGGGGACAGCAUCUCGAAAGGGAUGCUAAUACCGCAUACGUCCUACGGGAGAAAGCAGGGGAUCACUUGUGACCUUGCGCUAAUAGAUGAGCCUAAGUCGGAUUAGCUAGUUGGUGGGGUAAAGGCCUACCAAGGCGACGAUCUGUAGCGGGUCUGAGAGGAUUAUCCGGCACACUGGGACUGAGACACGGCCCAGACCCCUACGGGAGGCAGCAGUGGGGAAUAUUGGACAAUGGGGGGAACCCUGAUCCAGCCAUGCCGCGUGUGUGAAGAAGGCCUUAUGGUUGUAAAGCACUUUAAGCGAGGAGGAGGCUCUUUUGGUUAAUACCCAAGAUGAGUGGACGUUACUCGCAGAAUAAGCACCGGCUAACUCUGUGCCAGCCGCCGCCGUAA
rnacentral:rRNA from 1 species